rnacentral:snoRNA from 1 species
GCUUUUGAAGAUGAAGAGAUGAUGUGUUACAUCCUCAAUGAUCUUGAUCCCGAUUUCAAUCCCUUAGUAUCUGCUCUUGUAACUAGGGUCGAACCUAUCUCUCUCUCUGAAUUGUACUCACAGUUAUUAAGAUUUGAGA